rnacentral:tRNA from 1 species
UGCGAUAGCUCAGUUGGUAGAGCAUGAGACUCUUAGUCAGAGGGUUGUGGGUUCAAGCCCCAACUAGGGUAA